AUCAACUUCCGUUGAUCCUGAUCAUAACAACGUUUGUUUUCAUGGAAAAAAAUAUGGCGACUAAGAAACACUUAAUGUCAACAAGAUUGUCUGAUUGACAAGAGAAAAGGUCAAACAGGAACUUCAAUUGUGAACAUAGCAGAGAACACACUCAUCAGAAGAUGACCCUCAGAAAUAGGACAAUUAAUGAAUAAAAAGGACAGAGGCAGAUUUGAAGGAGAUGCAUGAAAUGAGGAAUAUUUCAAAGAUUGCCUGAGCAUAACCAUUGCUACUGGAUAAACAUAUGGCAAUAUAAAAGAGCAGGGUCAAUGGAGGUAUCAUACAGUAUAGGCCAUGAGAGACCCUGAAGAAGAAAGUAUGGAAGAGAAACAAAUAUAAAAUCAUUUUGACAUUUAUUGAAAUAUAGGAUCAAAGCCUUACAUGUAAAAUUUGGGCAUGUAAUGACUUUUCUCUUGCUCUAAGACGUAUAACAGUGAUGAUUUGAUUUAAUAUUUUUAUCCCGAUUUGUCAAAAAGAUUUGGACA